AGUCUUUUUUUUCUUUUUCUUUUUCAAUUUAGUUAAAAUUUCUAUACAUAGCUAUGAAUAUAUUGGAAAUUUUAAUAUAUGGCCAUAUAUACUGCACUUUUUCGGCCGAGAAAAAAUUAUUAUUUUUUCAGUUUGAAAUAUUUUCACCCGGGUCCAUACACAAUAGAUUAAUGAUGAUUUUUGAAGUGAUAGAGAUUCAGUAAUCGGUAAAAUGGAAAUUUUUCUGAUCACUGGAGUUUCAACAGUAACGACUAUACUAACAUGGGUUUUUGCUGUGGUUUUCCUUCGCCGCUACUCUCUUAAGGAGGUUUGAUACCCAUUAUUUUUUAGGAGAUCUAGGAAAAAGGAUUUUCUAUUGUAUUUUUGCAAGAUUACAACUGCUACACACCAAAAUUUCAUUAAUAGAAUAUGUUAUGAAUUGACUUAGUUUUAGGAAUUAAUACAAUAUAUUUUCAUUAUAAUUGCGUUGAAUCGUAAAAGGAAUUUUUUUUUAAUAAAAUAAUUUUUUUUUUAAUGAAGUAAGUGAUUAAAAAGUAAACGCGGAAGUUCGGCAACAUCGCGCUAAUCUUUAGUAACUUUUUCGUACACUAUUGUUGGUCACAAGGUUUAUUACUAGCUGAAGCUCAGGUCUGACACGAGUACUAUUUGGUAGUCAGUGCUGCCAGAACGUGCGAUAUUUUUACCCCCUCCUGUCAUUACAGUCAAUGCUAUUUCACCUCAAGAGGGGGUAAAAAUAUCGCACGUUCUGGCAGCACUGAUGGUAGUGUGUAUUAGUGAGUAAACAGAAAAGAAUGUCAGCUGAUUUUUGUUUUUAUUAAUUACGGAAGAAAGUAAUAUUAAAAAGAGGAAAUAUUGGAAAAGUAAAUUAGUAUCAGAAGCUGUUAUAAUAAACGUUUAAAACUAUCAGAAACAGGAAAAAAAAAACAGAAAAAAGAAGUUUAAACGCUAGACGUAUAUUUGCGAAAAAAAUUUAUAUUUUUCGAUGUAACUUUUUUUUUUAUUAUUUUACGAAAAAAUGAUAUCUGACCAUUUUUGUACAUCGUUAUUUAAAGAACAACUUUUAUUCGCAUCAUUUUUUAAUUAAGUCAAUAACUAAGGUUUUACAGCGCUCCGAAGAUUUAACAAUUAUUGAUUUUUAAAAUAAUUUUAAAUCUGAUGGCCGUUACCGGGAAUACUAUUCAGGUAGAAAAUACCCAAGUGACAAUGAGGGAAUAAAAGAACAGCUGCCUGCUAUUGUUAUUAUUAUUCCAAACCUCUGUUAUUGUAAGAAUAGCUCAUAACAUAGCUCAUACAAACAAUUCGCCAAGGCAGUGACAAAAAGUACAUUUAACUUAUCUUCACUUCCUCCAACACAAGACACAGCUCGCUUUCAUACUUUCCGAGUCUACCAUCAGGUCCAAUCGUGGCUUGGUAAUUAUAACGAUCCUGAAGACUGGGGCUGGAAAAAAUGUGGAAAAUUAUUGAUGCCGGUGCAGAACUCUAAACCUCCAGCACCCCCUGAGCGUCUAAAAUUGAUCUUUUGCAAAUGCAAAGGAAACUGUGGGGCGAUGUGUGGAUGCUGAAAAGCAGGAAUUAAAUGUUCUGCAGUGUGCUUCCAUUGUUCUGGAGAGACUUGCAGCAACGUAAUGGAACUCUCAGAAUUAAUAAAUGAAAAUGACUUUGAUGAUGAACCGCCAACAUUAACACCCCUUCCUUCUCCAGUUUUCCCACUGGUAUUUAAUUCAGAAAGCCGAUCAGAUGCUGAGCUGCAGCCUGGUCCAUCGAAACGACUGAGGACGGAGUAAUUCUAAUUUAGAAAAUCACCGUGGAUUAUGCCUAUUGGAGAUACCACGUAAAAGAAACGCGCCUCUAGACUCUACCUCGUGGGUGGUGGGGAAAAGAGUCAAUAAUUAAUUAUUAAUAAUAUUGCAAAAUUUGUAAUUAAAAAAGUUAUAAUAAUAAAGUAAAAAAAAAAAAAAGAAAAAAAGAAACAAACAAUAACUGAUGACAUAUUAUAGGUACACACGUAUAAUAUAGGUAUAGUUAAGAGUACUGAAAAAUAGUACUCACUUCGGAGCGCUGUAAAACCUUAGUUAUUGACUUAAUGAAAAAAUGAUGCGAAUAAAAGUUGUUCCUCAAAUAACGAUGUACAAAAAUGGUCGGAUAUCAUUUUUUCGUAAAAUGAUAAAAAAAAAGUUACAUCGAAAAAUAUAAAUUUUUUUCGCAAAUUUCUGAAGAUUUUCGCUUAUAACUUUUUUAUUUAUAGUUCUACGACAAAAAGUUACUGGACCAAAGUUGUAGAGAAUUUAAUUUGCAACAAAAAAUGUUAACAAAUUUUUUUUUUAAAUAAAUAGUUUAAGAGAUAUAUCGUAAAUACCAUUUCAACCCCUAUUUUCAAGAUAGCGGCCGUGGGACAAGGGUGGCGACCCCACAAACUUGGUUUUAGCUUUACACUGACCCCCCCUACACAUCAAAAAAAUAAAAUUGCGUCCUCUAAAAAACUCAAGGUAAGGCCUAAAAAAUGUAACAUUUCAAUGGACUAGUAGUAGGGGUUAAACAGUCAAAAUGAUACUGGUGCUCCAAGCUUAUUAGUUAUUCAAAUUUCCCGCGGAUGUGUCAUUUUAUGCUGUUGCCGUCGUUACUCAGCUUCACGACACAUGCGACGUCAUUAACUAAAAUUCGCUUCUUGUUUCAUUAAUAAUUUAAUUACAAACCCAUGAUUAAACUUUAAAAGAAUAUUAAUGUGUUCAGAAAUGUUUAAUUAUUUGAAAUUGAAUAAGUUAUAGCGAUGGUAUUAUUGUAGCAAGAACUAUAGCACUUUGAAAAAUGAUUCCGAUUUACGUCCUUGUAUAAGAACGAAGUUUGAAAAUUUAUUGCUCGAAAACGGUGAAGUGAAUCGACUUGAAAUUUUAACAAUGAUCCCUUUUUUUUAUAAUUCUUUCGAUAAAAAAAAUUUCAGAAUUUUGGUGUUAUUUCGAAAUCAGUAUCGAGCCUCCUUAAGGUGGGGUGUAGAGCAUCCCGUAAUGAUGCAGUGCAGCAGACACAAGUCGAUUCACAGCCGCACAAAAUUGGAGUAAUAGGAAAAAAUGAUUAGUGUAUUAAUAAAAGUGUGGAAAUGAUUGAACUUGAGAGAAAUAGCCUAAUGUUCGCGCUUGAGGUAUGCAAUUAGAAAUAUUUACUUGUUUUUUUAUAAGGA